UGGGGAAUAUUGGACAAUGGGCGAAAGCCUGAUCCAGCCAUGCCGCGUGUGUGAAGAAGGUCUUCGGAUUGUAAAGCACUUUAAGUUGGGAGGAAGGGCAGUAAGCGAAUACCUUGCUGUUUUGACGUUACCGACAGAAUAAGCACCGGCUAACUCUGUGCCAGCAGCCGCGGUAAUACAGAGGGUGCAAGCGUUAAUCGGAAUUACUGGGCGUAAAGCGCGCGUAGGUGGUUCGUUAAGUUGAAUGUGAAAGCCCCGGGCUCAACCUGGGAACUGCAUCCAAAACUGGCGGGCUAGAGUAGGGCAGAGGGUGGUGGAAUUUCCUGUGUAGCGGUGAAAUGCGUAGGUAUAGGAAGGAACACCAGUGGCGAAGGCGACCACCUGGGCUCAUACUGACACUGAGGUGCGAAAGCGUGGGGAGCAAACAGG
rnacentral:rRNA from 1 species